UUUUGGCAAACGCUGCAUUCUUAGUAAUGUAGAGGAAAGUCCAUACUUGCACGAUCCUGAGAUGGUCGUAGUGUUUGUGCAUAGGGAAAAAAUAACCUAUGGUAGUUUUAACUAACGGCGAAGUGUAAGCCUAAGUCUUUUAGAUAUGGCAAUGCUUUGUAAAGUGCCGCAGUGACGAUGCUUUUAGAAAUAAAAGAGUGAAACGUGGUAAACCCCGCAAGCAAGAAACCCAAAUUUUGGUAGGGGAACCCGAUAGGUGAGAAUAGUGGAAUUGCCUAUGGGACUAGGUAACUAGUAGAUAAAUGUUUGCCUUCUAGAAAUAGAAACAGAAUAUGGCUUAUAA
rnacentral:RNase_P_RNA from 1 species